UAUCAUUAGUCAUUUGUUUGUUCACAUCGCUGGCCCAGUCUUUAAUGAUAGCAGUUUUCAAAGUGUCUUUUAAUUUUUUGCUACAUAUUUCUAAAGGAGUUUCAUCUUCUCUUUUCUUUCAAUUUGGUUGCCUUGGCCGAAGUUUCUCCAGAGCAUGGCUAACGUAAUCUGGAACUCCUCCCAACAGUGAAUGACCGUCUUUGAUGCUAAGAUCUCACCCCCUCAUCUUGUACAAUCAAACCCGAAGCAGAUCUGAAGGAUUGUUGGUCAAAGGCUGCAUCAAAAUAGAUUGUGACCCUUGUUCUUUGAUUAACAUGUUGAAGGCCUCUGUCAGUUUGAAAAGUGAGUUUCUUCUCUUUUAUUCCAUCCAACUCAGAAAUGUAACUGCAUAUUUACUUCGAAAUGUCUCUUCUUGUCGCAUUUUUUCUUUCAUACAAUAAUCAAUUUCUAUUGAACCAAAUUAACCAAAGCCCACAACAGAAAAGCCAAUUCUGUUCACUAGUCCCCCGACUAAAAACCUAGGUAAGCCAUUCUGUGAAUAUCGUUGUUAAGAACCCAUGAAAGAUUUAAAUAAAUCCAAACAUCCACUGUUGUAGGACAGUGUCGAAAAAUAUGGUUACUGUCUUCUUUAUAUUGAUGACACUGACGGCACUAAGCAUCCAUCACCAUUUUCUUUUACUUGAGGUUGACAAACGAAGGAAUAAAAUUCCAGGAAAUUCUCCAUACUGUUAUUGUAACUUUUGAGGGGAUUUAUAAAUUCCACAGUUUUUUGUAGAAAUUUUUUGUUUCGGGUUGUAUAAUAUAAUUACUAGGAUCCAAGUUAGUCUCCUGUAAUAGUUAUAGGCACUUCUGACUGUGAAAUCACCGGACUGUUCGCCUUUCCACACUUGAAAAUCAUCAUAUGCUGUCUCUGCCAAAAGAAUUUGCAUGAUUUUCUUUGCAAUAUCCGUAUGAAAGAUCAUCCCAAACGAAAAUUUGAUCCCCCUUUCCAACCCUCCAGCAUAGACCUUUCUCCAAAAGUCCUCUUGCUGCCUAGACACUUUUCCAAGUAAGCAAAGGGCUAAAAAGCACAAACCAAAGCGAGAACCUUAACUGAAAGAGCGACGAAAGCCUCGGCAAUCAAACAAGCAAAACCGAUUAGCACCAUCCCUUCAUGGUCAUGAAUAAUGGCACCGCAAGCAAAAGAUUCCGUCUCUGCAUUUCAUGCCAUGCCAACAUUAACUUCGGCCGCAUCUUCACAAGGCGGAGUCCACUAAGCCAUGGUCCGAUCACGAGGUAAUAUAAUGGUUCUUUUUUCCUUUCAAAUGCGUUUAUGAUACUAAUUUUUAUUUAAUUUCAACAGGUUCACAAUAAAAAAAUUUAAAUGCAUGUUAGAAAAUUAAAAUUUACUUCACAGUCCAUUAUUGAUUUCAUUAUAUUUUUUGACCCAACAUAAUUCUUUGAAAUUUUUAUUUUAUUAGAGCUAUAACUUAAUUAAAUUAUGUUAUUAUACUAUUUUGACCGUA